rnacentral:rRNA from 1 species
UUUCAGGGUAUACCUGAGAAACCCGAAAGGUCGAAAGAGGAAAUUCAUUCGCGUUUCGGCUGUCGAAGUUAAAUGUUUGUAUGACGGAUAAUAGUUUCGGCUUUGUCUGCGUCUUAUGUUUUUCGAAUCGAUGUCGAACGCGUGCACUUUUCCUCUAGUAGGACGUCGCGAUCCGUUGGGUGUCUGUCUAAGACUCUUAUAGGUGGAGCCCACGCGAUCUUCGUGAUCGUGUGGACCCUGGAUGUUCCGACAGACUCGCUCGACGGUAUAAUAAUGGCGCGAGGCCGCUACCUCUAGUUAGCGUUCGGCCCGUAGCAAACACGUUCUGUGUUUGACAGCGAUCGGACCUAGUGCCGGUUCUGUCCCGGAACGAAUGUUGGUCACGGUGUUCUCGAACAGACCUCGUAUAUGAAACGCCGAUCAGCGACGCUAUUGAUUUGGGUACUUUCAGGACCCGUCUUGAAACACGGAC